GACAGAGGAUGCAAGCGUUAUCCGGAAUGAUUGGGCGUAAAGCGUCUGUAGGUGGCUUUUUAAGUCCGCCGUCAAAUCCCAGGGCUCAACCCUGGACAGGCGGUGGAAACUACCAAGCUGGAGUACGGUAGGGGCAGAGGGGAAUUUCCGGUGGAGCAGGUGAAAUGCGUAGAGAUCGGAAAGAACACCAACGGCGAAAGCAACUCUGCUGGGCCGACACUGACACUGAGAAGACGAAAGCUAGGGAGCGAAUGGG
rnacentral:rRNA from 1 species